AAGUCGUAACAAGGUAACCGUAGGUGAACCUGCGGUUGGAUCAUUAAAAAAUUAACAAAUUCUCUGUGGGUGUCGGGUUUGUCUCUUUUCCAUAGGCGAUAGCCCAGGCAACCACGGGAGGCUUCGGCCACAUACUGUGAACUGUACCGUCUUUGGUGGUGGGGUGGGCAUGGCAGAAUGCUAUGUCUCAUCUGUCAGCUUGGACUGCAAGGUCCCGGCCGUGGACAAGCCACCGCAUGUUUUCAAACAUUUUCUUAUUUUGUCUGACAUUUAACUUGUAUGAAUAUACAAACAACUUUUGGCAACGGAUCUCUUGGUUCUC
rnacentral:misc_RNA from 1 species